rnacentral:rRNA from 1 species
UACGUAGGGUGCAGGCGUUAAUCGGAAUUACUGGGCGUAAAGCGUGCGCAGGCGGUUUGUUAAGACAGAUGUGAAAUCCCCGGGCUUAACCUGGGAACUGCGUUUGUAACUGGCAAGCUAGAGUGUGGCAGAGGGGGGUGGAAUUCCAAGUGUAGCAGUGAAAUGCGUAGAUAUUUGGAGGAACACCAAUGGCGAAGGCAGCCCCCUGGGUUAACACUGACGCUCAGGCACGAAAGCGUGGGGAGCAAACAGG